UUGUCUGGUCCAUGCUCUAGCUCUGUUCACUACACAAAACAGUUGCGCAGACCCGGGGCCCGUUCUUCGUACGUCGCUAACUCGGUUAGCUGGAUUUGAUUGUUGACGAUUUGGCAUGAUCUUGGAUUGUUUGGUUCUUCGAAGCUCAUCCUGGACUUGCUGUCAUAGCAACAGACUGCACACAGGUCCCCAUCAAGGCCCCACCUGGCCCAAAUGAAGGGGAUUUUUUGAACAGAAAGGGAUUUCACAGUGUAAAUGUGCAAGUAAAUUACUAUAACAAUUAUACAUAUUCCAGAUAAGCAAUAAAUAAAUAAAAGUAACGUAAUCAAAAAGUAUGCAGACUGAUUUCAAAUAUUUUAGAUGGUGUGCGACUCCAUGUUCCACAUCACAAAUGUGGAAGCCACAUGGCCUGGUUCUGUGGGUGACUCCAAGAUUUUCAGAGAGUCACAUUUAUGCACAUUAUUUGAACGUGGUAAGGAAAAAUUAUUUAAAACUCACUGUAUUACAUAAUUUUAUUCUGAGCCUAUCAAAACUGCAUUUUCCCAGGUGCUGACGAUGGGAUCCUGUUUGGCGACAGGGGCUAUGCCUUCAGGCAGGCAGUACUUCAUGGCACCAUUCCCUGGACCACAAACCCGUUACAAUGCAACUUUCAUUAAAUGAAUAAUAGAAGACAACAUGCUUAGUUCAUGGAGUUUUAUUUCAAUGAUUGUUUCUCAAGAAAAGCCAGUGAUGGUCAUCUUUUGCCUGCAAUAAGAUAUAUAGUUAUCCAAGGGCAGCAAUAGUGCUCUUUGUGAAAAAUAGGGUUUAAGCAAUUACUCUGAAGUUUCUUUUGAAGCAACUCAAUCUCUAGUGCCAGUUUUUUCUUCUUUAAGGUGUCAAGUUCAAUUUCUCCCCUUAAUUUUUGUUUUUUUAAGAGCAAAAUACUCAAUUUUAUGUUGAAGAUUCUGUUUAUAUAGGGUACGGAUAUCCCCCUGUGCCAUUAAAAAAAAAAAAAACUCAACAAGCCUCAUGCAACAGAAAAAGGAAAAGUAGACUGCCGACCUCUGUAUAUUUUUGUGCUGUAGGCCUGUCUGUAGGCGUUUCCUCCUCCUAUAUUGCAGUCAGAAAUAAUGUGUCCACACCUAUAAAUUAAAUAAAGUUAUUUGUGCACUUACAAGUAAUUCCUCCAAAGGACAGUCAUCUGAGAGGGUUUCUUCACUGUCCUGUGCAAAAGAAAAAUGGGUUUUACAAAGUGUUGCACUUUCUUUCCUUUUGAUGUAAAGUUAUAAAUGUCCACUUACUGCACAUAUUUCAGACACCACUUUCUUGGGAACAGAUAA